GGUUCCGUGGCGUAGUGGUUAUCGCAUCUGCUUUACACGCAGAAGGCGCCCGGUUCGAUCCCGGCCGGCAUCA